rnacentral:rRNA from 1 species
GACAGAGGUGCCGAGCGUUAGGCGGAAUCACUGGGCUUAAAGCGUGUGUAGGCGGACCGUUAAGUACCUUGUGAAAUCCCCCGGCUCAACCGGGGAACGGCUGGGUAUACUGGCGGUCUUGAGCCAUCCAGGGGCAGUCGGAACAGACGGUGGAGCGGUGAAAUGCGUAGAUAUCGUCUGGAACGCCGAAGGUGAAAACAGACUGCUGGGGAUGCGCUGACGCUGAGACACGAAAGCGUGGGUAGCAAACAGG